UACGAAGGGGGCUAGCGUUGCUCGGAAUCACUGGGCGUAAAGCGCACGUAGGCGGACUCUUAAGUCGGUGGUGAAAGCCCGGAGCUCAACUCCGGAACUGCCAUUGAAACUGUAAGACUUGAGGAUGAGAGAGGUGAGUGGAAUUCCCAGUGUAGAGGUGAAAUUCGUAGAUAUUGGGAAGAACACCGGUGGCGAAGGCGGCUCACUGGCUCAUAUCUGACGCUCAGGCGCGACAGCGUGGGGAUCAAACAGG
rnacentral:rRNA from 1 species